CCAUAUCACGUAAGAUCACCGAAGUUAGGCAACGUCGAGCCCAGUCAGUACCAAGAUGGGUGGCCGGUUGGGAAUACCAGGUGCUGUAAG